rnacentral:lncRNA from 1 species
UGAACAACUAAAGCCGCACACAGCUCUCUAUUUGUGAACGGGACUUUUAACACCUUAAAUCUGUGAGAAAACAGGAGUAUAGACUCCUCACAGCACCCAAAGAUCUCCUUGAACCCUUGGAUCAUGAUCGGCAGCACUCCAGGCCGUCCGAUCGCACAAUGGUCCAUGAAAACCCCUGUAGACCAUGAGAAACCUAUGGAAAAUGCC